rnacentral:tRNA from 1 species
GAAUAUGAAGCGAUAUAUUGCAGUUAGUUUCGACCUAACCUUAGGUAUACCAUACCCCUAUUCU